CUUCUUAAAAAAAAAAAAAACCUUCUACGACGAAGAAAAGAAAAAAAAAAAGCAAGUCAUCACCAGAGCAGCGACCACCACCAUGGCAUCGGUUCCCGGCGACGUUCUCACAGCAUGAUCCCUACCAUCACGUAUGGCGCCCAGACUUCUUACCAAUUGUAUUUUCCUACCUUCAAUUGUGAGAGAAUUGGUUCCUUAGCAAGCAAGUAUGGAGGACAACAUCACGGUUUCUUUUCCUACAAUUCAAUCUUUGUCGAUUAUGCUCUCAAACUCACAGGGAAGAAUUCCUAAUGAAGGGAGGGUAUCAUCUACACGAAUGCUUACUGAUGACCGUUACAUUGUUGAUCAUUUAUCGGAUGUGACUUCUCCAACUCCCUUACCUCAUUCACGUUAUGCCUCCUUCGGUGAUAUUAAUUAAUUAAUUACACCUGUAUGGGGACAUAUGGAAAACAGACCGAUUAAAUGUGAAAGGGCGAUAUGUUAACCGGGUACAGAUCCUCAGCAACUACUAGACAUUUCGGCAUUUAUGCAAAAAGAAGACAUUUCGGCUUGUUAGCGAUUGGCACGUGGCGACAACAAUUUGACACUUGGCGCAAGAUAGAUUGCAUGUUAUGCAGCCACUUAUCAUUUGGAAGGGCUAUAAAUAAUCAGAUUUUGAUCUCGUAAUAAAGGUUCUCAUCUUGACGAUAGGAGCUUAACGGGUUUCAGGCUCGGGCUUUGGAUCUUGGAGUUGGGUUGUCGGAUCCUGAUAUGAACAAUUUGGCGCUAGAAGGAGGGGAAAGCUAAGUAAUUUCUUCUAUCGCCUAAGAACCUCACACAGACACACACACACACACACAAAGGUUAAAAAUCAAAGCACUCCAGUAAUCACACUACUACAAAAUGCGUGUUUUUUGGACGCUUUUUAAGCCUUUUUUCGACGCUAAAAAGCGUCGAAAAAUAAUUUCUCGACGCUGCAAAAAAGCGUCGAAAAUCCAAGAGUCGAAAAUUUUUCGGAGACACAAAAAAGCGUCGAGAAUCUCGAUGCUUUUUAUUGUCCAAACUAAUAUACGAAGCGUCCAAAAUGAUGUAUUUCGCGCAUUAUCCCAAAUGUAUGUAGUUUUUUAGCGACGCUUUUUCCUGUCCACAUAAUCAAAUUUUGCGACGCUUUUUGUUGUCUUGCGUUUAUUCGUGCCAGCCUAUGGUAUGGCGGGAAAGUCUAUGAAAUUUGAAAAUGUGCAAUUAUGUAGACAUUAAAAAGCGUCUAGAUUUAUUUUUUAAGCUUUUUUUUUUUCUUUUAU